GAUGAAGAACGCAGCGAAAUGCGAUAAGUAAUGCGAAUUGCAGAAUUCCGUGAGUCAUCGAAUCUUUGAACGCACAUUGCGCCCCCUGGUAUUCCGGAGGGCAUGCCUGUCCGAGCGUCAUUAGUCCAAAUUCAAGCCCGGCUUGUUGUUGGGUCCCACCGUCGCAGGCGGUGGACCCGAAAUAUAAUGACGGGGCCUGGUGGACCGCGGAUGCAGCGAGCUUUACGGCACGCGUCCCGGCGCCAUCACGGGCCCGUUCCAACCACACCUUUCUGUAGGUUGACCUCGGAUCAGACAGGAUUACCCGCUGAACUUAAGCAUAUCAAUAAGCGGAGGA
rnacentral:misc_RNA from 1 species